UAAUGAACAGAUACUCUGAAGAAGAAGAGACACUAAGAAACCCAAUGCUGCUUUACCAAUCUAGGCUAUUUGGGAGACUAAAAGACCACACUCCACAGUGAACUAUACCACUCAGUAUAGUUCAUUACUAUUUUGUGGCUACAUU
ensembl:snoRNA small nucleolar RNA SNORA4